rnacentral:lncRNA from 1 species
AAAAAGAAACAUAUGUCAUCGGGACAAAGGCAAAUCGAAAUAGUAAAGAAAAAGAAGAAAAGAAACAAAAGGGAAAUGAAAGUUUAAGGAAUGCAAGCCAAGACGUCGGAUCACUAGUCCAGCCAGCCAAAUGUAGGUUGAUUGGAAUGCUUUGCGACAAGUCAAUCAAAGUCAAAAUUUUGAACUGGCCCACGACAUCAUCGACUCCCUUGAGAUCUCCUUUGUACAACUUUUCGUUUUUGUAAAGCGAAAGAGACCAGCAAACAAUCAACUAAAUCAAGCCUUGAUACUUCUUCACGACUCUACUUUUAAGUUUUUGACAAAAUAACUUUAGGUGGACC